rnacentral:rRNA from 1 species
AAGUCGUAACAAGGUUUCCGUAGGUGAACCUGCGGAAGGAUCAUUACUGAGUUAGGGUCCCUCGUGGCCCGACCUCCAACCCUUGUGUUAACUAUACCACGUUGCUUCGGCGGGCCCGUCUCCCCACCUGGGGAGACCGCCGGGGGGCUUCAUCCCCUCCUGGCCAGUUGCCCGUCGACAGCCCACACCAAAACUCUUUGUUUAACCAUGUCGUCUGAGUCUUAAAUUGAAUUAAAAUAAAACUUUCAACAACGGAUCUCUUGGUUCUGGCAUCGAUGAAGAACGCAGCGAAAUGCGAUAAGUAAUGCGAAUUGCAGAAUUUCAGUGAGUCAUCGAAUCUUUGAACGCACAUUGCGCCCUUUGGUAUUCCGAAGGGCAUGCCUGUUCGAGCGUCAUUAUCACCCCUCAAGCCUGGCUUGUUGUUGGACCCAGGCUUGGAGACCUCUCCCCGGCCGGUCCCAAAAGUAAUGACGGCGUCCGUGGGACCCUCGGUGCAACGAGCUUUUUACAAGGCACGCACAGAGUCGAAAGGUCCCCCGGCACGGUCCCCCCAAAAUCUUUAUUUUACAAGGUUGACCUCGGAUCAGGUAGGAAUACCCGCUGAACUUAA